AGCGAACGCUGGUGGCGUGCUUAACACAUGCAAGUCGAACGGAGGAUUUAUUUCGGUAAAUCCUUAGUGGCGAACGGGUGAGUAACGCGUGGGCAACCUGCCCUUCAGAUGGGGACAACAUCCCGAAAGGGGUGCUAAUACCGAAUACGAUCACGCUGCCGCAUGGCGGUGUGAUGAAAGAUGGCCUCUAUUUAUAAGCUAUCGCUGAAGGAUGGGCCUGCGUCUGAUUAGUUAGUUGGUGGGGUAACGGCCUACCAAGGCGAUGAUCAGCAGCCGGUCUGAGAGGAUGAACUGCCACAGUGGGACUGAGACACAGCCCAAACUCCUACGGGAGGCAGCAGUGGGGAAUAUUCCGCAAUGGACGAAAGUCUGACGGAGCAACGCCGCGUGAGUGAUGAAGGUUUUCGGACUGUAAAACUCUGUUGUUUAGGACGAAAGUGCCUGUUGCAAGCAGUUGCAGGUAUUGACGGUACUGAACGAGGAAGCCACGGCUAACUACGUGCCAGCCGCCGCAGUAAAAC
rnacentral:rRNA from 1 species